CUACUGCCGGCGACCGGCGCACGGGUGAGUAACACGUAUGGAACCUGCCCGCAGCAGGGGGAUAAGCGGAAGAAAUUCCGUCUAAUACCGCGUAACAACGUUGGGGGGCAUCUCCCGAUGUUUAAAGAUUUAUCGGCUGCGGAUGGCCAUGCGGCGCAUUAGCUAGUCGGCGGGGUAACGGCCCACCGAGGCGACGAUGCGUAGGGGUUCUGAGAGGAAGGUCCCCCACACUGGUACUGAGACACGGACCAGACUCCUACGGGAGGCAGCAG
rnacentral:rRNA from 1 species